rnacentral:misc_RNA from 1 species
GCCACGCCCGAAGUCGUUACCCUAACCAGCAAUGGAGGGGGACGCCGAAGGCAGAGCUAGUGACUGGGGUGAAGUCGUAACAAGGUAGCCGUACCGGAAGGUGUGGCUGGAUCACCUCCUUUCCAGGGAGACCUGAGAAAUGAAUUGAGUUCAAACGCAUCAAUCAUUACUCUCACAUCCCAGGUCGGUCGGGGUCAAACCAGAAGGCUUUCAAACUCAGAGCAGGGCGGGAGAUGGGCUAUUAGCUCAGGUGGUUAG